rnacentral:rRNA from 1 species
ACCUUUACUAUAGCUUGACACUGAACAUUGAGCCUUGAUGUGUAGGAUAGGUGGGAGGCUUUGAAGUGUGGACGCCAGUCUGCAUGGAGCCGACCUUGAAAUACCACCCUUUAAUGUUUGAUGUUCUAACGUGGACCCGUUACCCGGGUUGCGGACAGUGUCUGGUGGGUAGUUUGACUGGGGCGGUCUCCUCCUAAAGAGUAACGGAGGAGCACGAAGGUUGGCUAAUCCUGGUCGGACAUCAGGAGGUUAGUGCAAUGGCAUAAGCCAGCUUGACUGCGAGCGUGACGGCGCGAGCAGGUGCGAAAGCAGGUCAUAGUGAUCCGGUGGUUCUGAAUGGAAGGGCCAUCGCUCAACGGAUAAAAGGUACUCCGGGGAUAACAGGCUGAUACCGCCCAAGAGUUCAUAUCGACGGCGGUGUUUGGCACCUCGAUGUCGGCUCAUCACAUCCUGGGGCUGAAGUAGGUCCCAAGGGUAUGGCUGUUCGCCAUUUAAAGUGGUACGCGAGCUGGGUUUAGAACGUCGUGAGACAGUUCGGUCCCUAUCUGCCGUGGGCGCUGGAGAACUGAGGGGGGCUGCUCCUAGUACGAGAGGACCGGAGUGGACGCAUCACUGGUGUUCGGGUUGUCAUGCCAAUGGCACUGCCCGGUAGCUAAAUGCGGAAGAGAUAAGUGCUGAAAGCAUCUAAGCACGAAACUUGCCCCGAGAUGAGUUCUCCCUGAGACUUAGAGUCUCCUGAAGGAACGUUGAAGACGACGACGUUGAUAGGCCGGGUGUGUAAGCGCAGCGAUGCGUUGAGCUAACCGGUACUAAUGAACCGUGAGGCUUAACCUUACA